UAUAUUACUAAACUUCUUCUCCCUCUCUUCUUAAUUAUUUAUUCCUCCUUUUAUCUUUCUCUUCUUUUUCUUCUUGUUCACUCGAGUAGCAGAGAGAGAGACAGAGAUGGUGAGAGUGAGAGAGAAAAUCUGAGAGGAGAAAAACCCGUUCCUUUUCCCCUUUUCUUCCCCUUCCUCCUUCUCUUCUUUCUUCUCCCUUCUCCUUCUUGCUUGUUCUUCCUUUCCUCUUUUCUAACCAAGAGAUGCAGAGAGACAGAGCAAGAGAGUGAGAGAUCAUGGGAUUGAGAGAAAUAUGAGGGAGAGAGACUCGGGUGAGAUAAUCGAACCAAGGGAGGAACGGACCCGAUCGUGGAGGACCCAGAACCUGAAACUCGUCAAACCCGAGAGACCCAGAUCAAGUCCGCCAUGGGUCAUCACCGGUGACAGUCCUAGUAGUUUUUCCGGCAAUUCCGGUGACCUGAUGAUGCGAUUUCCGGCACAGACCCGUGAUCAUUUUUGCCCCCUUCUCGAUGGAUUUUCUGGAUAACGAGUUAAGAGACUGCGAAUAUAACAGUAAGUAUCUCUAUACUUACUGAGGACGAAGCUGGUGGGUUUUUCCAUAAUAUUGUGUUUACUGCUUUAUUUAAUUUAUUUGUGCAUGUGAAUUUACAUGUUUUAUAUUUUAAUUAAACUGAUCAAUAACAAA